rnacentral:tRNA from 1 species
GGAGAGGUCGCAUAGUGGCCUAGUGCGAGCGUUUGCUAAAUGCUUGAGGUUAACCGCCUCCGUGGGUUCGAAUCCCACCCUCUCCGCCA